rnacentral:rRNA from 1 species
UAUAAUAAAAUUAAAAUAAUUUAAUCAAUUUAAUAAAUUUAUUUUAUUUUUAUUUUAUUUUUAAUAAACUGAAAAGGAAUUUAUUAUUAUAAUUUAAUAGAAAAAUUAAUGUACCUUUUGCAUUAGGGGUUUUUAAAAAAAAAUAAAAUUUUAUUUUUCUCGAAAUAUUUUGAGCUAAAAUUUAAUUUUUCUAAUGUUUCAAUAUUAAAAUAAAAUAAAUUUUAGAGGUGAAAUUCUUAUCAAAAAAUAUAAUAUCUAGUUAAAAAAAAUUAAUUAAAUAUUAUUUUGUAAAUAUUAAUUUAUUUUUUAAAACUACAAAAAAAAGUUUUUGGGAUAAGCUAAAAAUUAUUAAAUUUAUAAUAUUUUAAAAAAUAAUAAAAGAAUUAAAAUUUUUCUAUUUAUUUUUAUAAAUAAAUUAAGUUAAAUUGAAAUAAAAGAAUUUAUUUUUUUAAAUUAAAUUUAAUUAAAAAUUUAAAAAAAAAUGAAAAUAUUAGUAAAAAAUUUUUUUUUUGUAAUUAUUAAUAAUUAAUUAAAAAUUAAUUUAAUUUAAUUUAAUUUUUAAGAACUAGGCAAUUAUUUUUUUUGACUGUUUAAUAAAAACAACGCAUUUAGAUAAACAAUAAAUGUAAAUCCUGCUCAAUGAAUUUUUUUUUAAAUUGCUGUAGUAUUUUGACUAUACAAAGGUAUUGAAAUAAGAUUUUAAUUGAAUGCUAAGAGAAUGGAAUAUCAAAAAACAACUUUCUUAAAAUUAAAAAUUGAAAUUUUUUUAAUUUGUGUAAAAACAAUUAUAAAAAUUAAAGACAAGAAGACCCUAAGAAUUUUUAAAAUUUAAAUAAUACAUUUUUUGUUUUAAUUAAAUUUUAACUGGGGCGGUUAAAAAAUAUUAAAAACUUUUUAAUUUAAAAAUGACCCAUUAUUAAUGAAAAUAUGAUUAAAUACUCUAGGGAUAACAGCGUUAUAUUUUUUGAUAGAUCAUAUUGACAAAAAAGUUUGCGACCUCGAUGUUGGAUUAGGAUACUUUUUUAAUGAAGAUAUUAAAAUAAGAAGUUUGUUCAACUUUUAAAUUCCUACAUGAUCUGAGUUUAGACCGAUGAGAAUCAGGUUGGAUUCUAUCUUAAUAAAAAACAAAUUUUAUUUAGUACGAAAGGAAUUUUAAAAUCUAAUUUUUAGUUUUAUUUAUUUAUUUUAUU